rnacentral:rRNA from 1 species
GAGUUUGAUCCUGGCUCAGAGCGAACGCUGGCGGCAGGCCUAACACAUGCAAGUCGAACGGACUCUUCGGAGUUAGUGGCGGACGGGUGAGUAACACGUGGGAACGUGCCUUUUGGUACGGAAUAGCUCCUGGAAACGGGUGGUAAUGCCGAAUGUGCCCUUCGGGGGAAAGAUUUAUCGCCAUUAGAGCGGCCCGCGUCUGAUUAGCUAGUUGGUGAGGUAAAGGCUCACCAAGGCUACGAUCAGUAGCUGGUCUGAGAGGACGACCAGCCACAUUGGGACUGAGACACGGCCCAAACUCCUACGGGAGGCAGCAGUGGGGAAUCUUGCGCAAUGGGCGAAAGCCUGACGCACCCCAUGCCGCGGGUAUGAUGAAGGUCUUAGGAUUGUAAAAUACUUUUCCCCGGUGAAGAUAAUGACUGUAGCCGGGAAAAAAACCCCCCGGUUAACUUCG